GAUGAACGCUGGCGGCGUGCCUAAUACAUGCAAGUCGAGCGAACAGACGAGGAGCUUGCUCCUCUGACGUUAGCGGCGGACGGGUGAGUAACACGUGGAUAACCUACCUAUAAGACUGGGAUAACUUCGGGAAACCGGAGCUAAUACCGGAUAAUAUAUUGAACCGCAUGGUUCAAUAGUGAAAGACGGUUUUGCUGUCACUUAUAGAUGGUUCCGCGCCGCAUUAGCUAGUUGGUAAGGUAACGGCUUACCAAGGCAACGAUGCGUAGCCGACCUGAGAGGGGGAUCGGCGACACUGGAAGUGAGACACGGUCCAGACACCUACGGGAGGCAGCAGUAGGGAAUGUUCCGCAAUGGGCGAAAGCAUGACGGAGCAACGCCGCGUGAGUGAUGAAGGUGUUGGGAUCGUAAAACUCUGUUAUGAGGGAAGAACAAAUGUGUAAGUAAAUAUGCACGUAGUGACGGUACCUAAUAAGAAAGCCACGGCUAACUACGUG
rnacentral:rRNA from 1 species